UUCACAGCAGGUAGCCGGCGACCUUAUUUGAUCUUGCAUGGUUGAUGAUGCCCCUGGAGUCAAGACGACUUGGACUCUUUCCAUCUGCUCUGUCUUCGCACCAUGUUAUCUCCGAAGCAGCAACCAGGCUUCAUCAACAUGGCCUUCCAUCAUCGCCUGGCCAAGCUCCAUCAUACCAUCUUCCUUAUAUCUCAGCCCAUGAUUCGCACUGUGGCUCCCCUGCCUCAUAAUCCCCCAGCCGCAACUUUAAAAUAGCCCUGUCUUGGGUUGCAUGUAGAUCGUCUGUCUCAGAUCCCUGACGAUCUGGAUGAAAUCCUGAUUUCCCUGUCUCAUUGCCUGGUGGUUUGAUGCUCCAACUCACUGGUAAUGUUUCUGCUUCUGCUGCUUUCGCCACCGCAUGGGCUAACCGAUUUCCGUUUCUGGGGGUCCAAGUUACUCCCUUUUCAGCUAUUGCUCCUGUUCCCGUGUCUUUCUUGAAGGCUGCAUCAACAUUAGCUUUUAGCCAGUUCUCAGGGGGAGGUCUCCAUUUCACCAGG